rnacentral:lncRNA from 1 species
CCCAUCCACUCUCUCUGCUGAGAACCAUCCUUCAUCACAUCUGUGCACAAUGUAACGUUUUUCCCCAGACUGCCUCCUCGGCGUCGGCCCUCCCCCCACCAAAAGCCAUCCAUCCUUCACCUGCCUGCCUCACUAUCAUAUGUCCAUGUUAAUACACCUUGCUGAGCUGCAAUGUCAGAUUUGCAUAAUAAAAAUUAAAUCGGAUCCCUUCGAUUUCCAAUGGUCAAAAGAGAAAACAAAAAUCAUUGUGCAUCAAACUCCUUAGGCUGCCGUGCAACUUGCCGCUCUUGCACAGUUUGGGGGAUCGAGCAGCACAACACCACACACUGCAGGGGCUUCCUUGGGAGAUUUCUUUGCUAGUGAACAUUUACAAACCCUGCAGACACAGGAAUCUGCAACAUCCUCCCGGGGCUUGCAUUUCACUAACCAUAACAUUGGAUGUACGGUUCAUGGAUAAUAAGAUGGGAAGCCUCUUCAGUCCAGGGUUCCUCAUUUGCUCUUCAGACACCAAAGCAGUCAGGACAACAUGUUUUCAAACUGUGUGCAUAAUGCAUGUUCCAGACACUCUGUACAAAGCAGUCUUUCAAUAUUAUUAUGAUCUCCUACUAUGCUUGUCAGUAUGUCAUGUCAAUCAGUAAUCUGUUUAGAAUUCAUCCCUGUUCUGUGGGUCAAUACAAGGCCUAGGGACACUUGCAUAUCAUUUAAGAUCUAUUUUCAAGUCAUCUGUGGUCCAUAGACCAAAAUCCCAAACUACAUUUAAUGGUCUAAUGUUGUACAAUAACUAGGUCAUGUUAACACUUUUUACUCUCUGGGCUCAUUUUAUUUAAUCAGAAUUAGCAUAAUACCUUGCGUGAG